CACUCGAACUGAGUACCUUCAACGACGCGGCGCAGCAGGGUGUUACGAACAACACGCAUGUAUACGCCAGCUUCACGACCUGCUUUACGCAGUUCAGUCAUUUUAUCUACAGUUACGCCACGGGAAUCCGCAACUACUGCAGACAGCGCGCCUUUGGCUACUUCGCUGACUUCAGCAACAAUCGCUUGUUUGUCUUGAAGAUUUAAAGCCAUUAGCUUUGCUCCUGGAUGUUUGCCGGAACUCAUGUUCCGGAACUCACUUCACUCAUCUCAACGAGAAGAGCGUCUUAAUACGGUGAGCAGAAACAAGCCAGAGUAUCAAAAAUAAUCUUAGCGUUCUGUCACCGUCUACGCAGGGGAUUAAGCCUCUUGUGAGACGCCUGCGGUCUUCGACGGAGGCCUGGAU
rnacentral:misc_RNA from 1 species